GGCUCGUCCGAAGGUAGUGGGUUAUCCCAAUUGAUUGUUCACAAUUGCAGAUUGAACUCCUUGUUCUACUUCCACCCAUCCCUUCUCACUACUGCACUUGACUAGUCUUUA
ensembl:misc_RNA Y_RNA Y RNA